CGUGAACUCUGACCAAGGGGUGUAUCUAGGCGUCCAAGCACCCCUGGCAAAGUAAGGGACUGGCGCCCGCCCAUAUUUGAUAUAGAUCUUGUGAAGUGCCUGUCUUGAUAAAGGUCCGCAUAUGGACCGAAACGGCGAUGAUUAAUGGCAUCACUUUUGAACCUGAUUAAAUUAAGUUGACUCCAUAA